AUACGGAGGGGGCUAGCGUUGUUCGGAAUUACUGGGCGUAAAGCGCGUGUAGGCGGAUCGUUAAGUCAGGGGUGAAAGCCCGGGGCUCAACCCCGGAACUGCCCUUGAUACUGGCGAUCUAGAGUCCGUAAGAGGUGGGCGGAAUUCCCGGUGUAGAGGUGAAAUUCGUAGAUAUCGGGAGGAACACCAGUGGCGAAGGCGGCUCACUGGUCCGGCACUGACGCUGAGACGCGAAAGCGUGGGGAGCAAACAGGAUUAGAAACCCUAGUAGUCC
rnacentral:rRNA from 1 species